GAGAAACCUGGUGAGUCAGGAGGUGAGAGCUGCUUGAGGCAGGAGGUCCAUGAUAGAAGAUGUAGGUAGGUCCUGGCUGAAGGCAGGAGAACAGUAAGAGGGAGCUGCCUGCUGGCUCUCUGAGCUGGGGAGUAGCAGCAGAGGGCUGAAGGUAGAGCGGCAGUGGAGGGGCUUAUUUGCUGACAUCUCUGCUGGAGCCUGGGGACCUGUAGAAAGGCCUGGCUGUUGGCCUGUCUGGGACAUGAGACGUUAAUGGACAAAGGGGCUUUGGGGAUGCUUCUCUGUGAAUUCAGUGCUCAGGAAAAGCAUUGGACUGACAAGCCAUGCAGACUGAAAUCUUCAGAGCAGAAAAAGAAAAUCCUUGUAAAGGGGAACCUCUUGCUAUAAUGAGGAUCCUUUCUGAAAUAGAGUUGGCUCUGGUAUAAGACUAUUACUAAACUGCAAGCCAUGAUAAAUAUUAUGUCAAAGCGAACACCACCUCCAUUUCUGGAAGAAGACAAAACACAGCCUAACAGAGGAUGAGUUGCAGCCCUACUGGGGGAGCUAGUACAUCCUCAGUGCUUUCUGUUAAGACUUUCAUUUUUGCAGUGGUCGCACAUUGUGCUGCUCAGUCUAAAGUAUUACCAAAAAGUCCAUUUUAACACCUUAGCAGAGACAUGAAAUAUGCCUUGUGCUUUGGGGCUAGGUUGGAAGGGGAGGGCUGCAUUUUCCCCUUAGUGUUGUGUUCACAGAAAACUUGCCCUCAGACCAGUCCAGAAUUUUGUAACGCAACCCCACAAGGUCAUUCACCACCCCACAAGGUCAUUCCCCACCAGCUGAGAAAAGCAUAUAUGAGCCUACUUGUUAGAGUGGCAUUGGGGUUUGGUAUUCUGUAUAUAUUUUUUUUUCCACAGUGCAAUUACCAUUCCUGCAUAACUUAUAAUUAUAUUGUACCAAAAUAUCUAAUAUUGUAUCUGAAUAGCAAUACUGUAUCAAAUGUGCUAUCUGAGGGCACACCUACCUGUAAAAAUUCUGUACCAAAUAUUUAUCUGUAUAUGUGCCUAUAGAACAGUAUUAUACAACUAUUUGUUUACUUAACCUGCAUAGCAAUAAUUUACAAAAUAUUUACCAGUGUACGUACUUGUAUAAUUAUGCAUAUAGUCGGAUAACUACUUAUUGUACAAGCGGCAAAGAGUCCUGUGGCACCCUAUAGACUAACAGACGUAUUGGAGCGUAAGCUUUCAUGGGUGAAUACCCACUUCGUCGGAUCUGCUUCUUUUAAUAAAGUGAAGCUUCUUGUUACAGACUCUGCAACAUCCUUUGUAAGAGCUUCUUAUUAACACCAGGUUAGGUAUCCAAAGUGUAGGAGACUAAACUAUUUUAAAGUGCUGAAAUCCCAUGAAUAAUUAAGUAGAGGUGAAACUCUAUUUUUCCAUCCCAGAAGGAAGCACAGGGCCCAUAGUAUUUACACUGUAGCUCCCAGGUUAGGGCUAUGCCACAGACAAACUUCAGAGGUACCACUCACCCAGUGUGAAUUGCUCCAUAGAUGUUAUCCAGUAGUGCUUUCCAAAGGAGACAACUUUGAUAUUGGUAAGCAAGGAAGCUCAGUCUUAGACAAACUUAGGUGGCAGUAAUCCAAGCACUUGCUCCCCUUAUUCCAUCACUAAAAAAAGAGAAGUUUAGUGUUAUCAUUGACCAGAAAAUCCUACAUUUCCCAUCAAGUGCCAAAACAAACAAAUAAAAAGCAAACCUAUGCUUGACCAUUCCCCUUGUGGCACUCCAACAGAAAUGAUUGAUACAGUUAAGGUUUAGUUGUAAGAGAGAACUUGAAGAUACCUAAAUGCCUUGUCCAUGGGGAGCGCUGUUGGCUGAAUUAUUCAUACAAAUGCAGCAUGAAUGAAGAAUCAGCACACGUCUUUCCUACAUUUGCUUUCCAAGCUAGAAUGUAAGCAAAUCACCAUAAAAUCAGUAGGCUGACUUGGCUGGCACUUUUUAUUAAAUGCAAAAAAAUCAGUUUUAUUGUGCCAAAUUAAAACCUGAUGCAGGUCCAGUGAAGUUGUUACACAAGAGAUGAUUUUGGCCCACUAUCCUAAUAAUGAUUUAUCAGUCACUAGUUUGUGGAGGAGAAUAUCCUUGUAAGGAAAACAAGAAUGUAAUGAAACAUUGGAGGUGGGGAAAGAGCAAUAAGAAAGCUAUUAAGUGCUUCUUCAUCCUAAAUUCAUUGUAGAGAGAAUGGGGUAAGAUGAGACUUUCUUAUUGUGGGGAGAAAUGGUGUGUGUGGUGUUUUUGUUUGUUUUUAAAGGAAUUGGUGACAUUAAAAAGCUGCGUCUUACGCAUCAAGCUUUGAAGUACUCCCCAAGCUUUUCCUUUCCCUGUCUAUUCUCCUGCCAAAACUUUGAUAGCUUUAGCUUGCAAUCCAGCAAGUUCAGAGAUUCGACUGUGCCUAAUAUAGUUU